UACGUAGGGUGCGAGCGUUAAUCGGAAUUACUGGGCGUAAAGCGUGCGUAGGCGGUUCGUUAUGUCUGCUGUGAAAUCCCCGGGCUCAACCUGGGAAUGGCAGUGGAAACUGGCGGGCUUGAGUGUGGCAGAGGGGGGGUGGAAUUCCGAGUGUAGAGGUGAAAUUCGUAGAUAUUCGGAAGAACACCAGUGACGAAGGCGACUCGCUGGACAAGUAUUGACGCUGAGGUGCGAAAGCGUGGGGAGCAAACAGGG
rnacentral:rRNA from 1 species